AGGCACAUAGCUCAGUUGGUUAGAGCACCACCUUGACAUGGUGGGGUCGUUGGUUCGAGUCCAAUUGUGCCUACCA
rnacentral:tRNA from 1 species